rnacentral:rRNA from 1 species
GGGGAAUAUUGCACAAUGGGGGAAACCCUGAUGCAGCGACGCCGCGUGAAGGAAGAAGUAUUUCGGUAUGUAAACUUCUAUCAGCAGGGAAGAAUUAGGACGGUACCUGACUAAGAAGCCCCGGCUAACUACGUGCCAGCAGCCGCGGUAAUACGUAGGGGGCAAGCGUUAUCCGGAUUUACUGGGUGUAAAGGGCGCGUAGGCGGACUGUCAAGUCAGUCGUGAAAUACCGGGGCUUAACCCCGGGGCUGCGAUUGAAACUGACAGCCUUGAGUAUCGGAGAGGAAAGCGGAAUUCCUAGUGUAGCGGUGAAAUGCGUAGAUAUUAGGAGGAACACCAGUGGCGAAGGCGGCUUUCUGGACGACAACUGACGCUGAGGCGCGAAAGUGUGGGGAGCAAACAGGAUUAGAUACCCUGGUAGUCCACACCGUAAACGAUGGAUACUAGGUGUAGGAGGUAUCGACCCCUUCUGUGCCGCAGUUAACACAAUAAGUAUCCCACCUGGGGAGUACGACCGCAAGGUUGAAACUCAAAGGAAUUGACGGGGGCCCGCACAAGCAGUGGAGUAUGUGGUUUAAUUCGAAGCAACGCGAAGAACCUUACCUGGGCUUGACAUCCCUGGAAUCGAGUAGAGAUACUUGAGUGCCUUCGGGAAUCAGGUGACAGGUGGUGCAUGGUUGUCGUCAGCUCGUGUCGUGAGAUGUUGGGUUAAGUCCCGCAACGAGCGCAACCCCUAUUGUCAGUUGCCAUCAUUAAGUUGGGCACUCUGGCGAGACUGCCGGUGACAAAUCGGAGGAAGGUGGGGACGACGUCAAAUCAUCAUGCCCCUUAUGCCCAGGGCUACACACGUACUACAAUGGCCGAUAACAAAGUGCAGCGAAACCGUGAGGUGGAGCGAAUCACAAAACUCGGUCUCAGUUCAGAUUGCAGGCUGCAACUCGCCUGCAUGAAGUUGGAAUUGCUAGUAAUCGCGGAUCAGAAUGCCGCGGUGAAUACGUUCCCG